GAAUAAGAAGCGAAUAUUGCAAUCAGUUUCGACCUGAAAAACUUGGUAUUAAAUCUUUACCCUUAUUCA
rnacentral:tRNA from 1 species